rnacentral:rRNA from 1 species
GGAGCAAUCCUGGUGGCGAGUGGCGAACGGGUGAGUAAUAUAUCGGAACGUGCCCAGUCGUGGGGGAUAACGCAGCGAAAGCUGUGCUAAUACCGCAUACGAUCUAUGGAUGAAAGCGGGGGAUCGCAAGACCUCGCGCGAUUGGAGCGGCCGAUAUCAGAUUAGGUAGUUGGUGGGGUAAAAGCCCACCAAGCCGACGAUCUGUAGCUGGUCUGAGAGGACGACCAGCCACACUGGAACUGAGACACGGUCCAGACUCCUACGGGAGGCAGCAGUGGGGAAUUUUGGACAAUGGGCGCAAGCCUGAUCCAGCAAUGCCGCGUGCAGGAUGAAGGCCUUCGGGUUGUAAACUGCUUUUGUACGGAACGAAACGGUCCUUUCUAAUACAAGGGGCUAAUGACGGUACCGUAAGAAUAAGCACCGGCUAAC